rnacentral:rRNA from 1 species
AUUGAACGCUGGCGGCAUGCUUUACACAUGCAAGUCGAACGGUAACAGGUUAAGCUGACGAGUGGCGAACGGGUGAGUAAUGCAUCGGAACGUGCCCGGUCGUGGGGGAUAACGCAGCGAAAGCUGCGCUAAUACCGCAUACGAUCUGAGGAUGAAAGCGGGGGACCGUAAGGCCUCGCCCGAUCGGAGUGGCCGGUGUCAGUUUAGGUAGUUGGUGGGGUCAAGGCUCACCAAGCCAACGAUCUGUAGCUGGUCUGAGAGGACGACCAGCCACACUGGGACUGAGACACGGCCCAGACUCCUACGGGAGGCAGCAGUGGGGAAUUUUGGACAAUGGGCGAAAGCCUGAUCCAGCAAUGCCGCGUGCAGGAAGAAGGCCUUCGGGUUGUAAACUGCUUUUGUACGGAGCGAAAAGGUCUCCUCUAAUACAGGGGGCUCAUGACGGUACCGUAAGAAUAAGCACCGGCUAACUACGUGCCAGCCGCCGCCGUAA